rnacentral:lncRNA from 1 species
GAGGGUUGAUGUCUGUGCUUUAGAAUUCUUCAUCUCCCAUCUGUCAGCGGCCAUGGUCAUUGUGCGGCAGUGAAGCUGCUGCUCAUCUUCGGACCUAGACAAGCAGAGGAGGCGUGUGUAUCCUGGAAAGCCUCCGUCUGGGAGCACCCAUGCCGGCGAGGCAGGUCAGGGAGACAGUGUUAAGGUACAUGAGCAGGGUGGCAAGGCCCCGCGCUUCUCUAGAUCUUUCCUGUCCUUUUUCUUCCUCUUCCUCCAAGUGCCCCAUCUGUGCCCCAGCCUGGGGCCGCCACGCAGGACAUUAACACGUGGAUGGAACACUGGCUCUUUGCAGGUAGUAAUACAGAAGCCCUUCCUCUUGCCAACCAGUGCAGACAAAGCAAUCUUGAAACCACAGACCGACAGAGAGGGUUACAAGCACGUCGGUUCAGCAGUGCCAGAGGAACUUGAGGGUUUGGGCUUCGCGUGACAGCAGGGGACAGGGAUGCUUGCAAGCACACAGGUUGUCCCAGGCCCGUGGCUGCGCCAGGACUGACCUUGGGUUCCAUCCCUGGUACCAAGAAAAGAAAAAACACGAGGUUGUCCAUGGAAUGAUGAAAGCCCAGAUGCCCACACAAGGCUGAAUCUCUAAACUGCCCUGUGUGUUGACCACCCAGGAGCCCAGCGAUGGAUCUGAGGGGGGGUGGAACCCAAGCUUCUUCCAAGCCCAGCAGAAUGCUGGUCCUAUUCCUUGGGGACUUCAUGAUUCAUUUGCAUAUUCUGGGAAAAUAAAAGGACUUAUUUUUAUU